GCAACUGUAGUUUAAUGGUAAAACACCUGUCUUCCAAAUAGAAUUUAUCGGUUCGAGUCCGAUUAGUUGUA